CUGGGAAACGUAAUCCAGGCCUGGGAGAGGACAUCUAUCUACACCUGUCCUGCUGAGGGAAACCUGGGCUUUGAGAUGCUGUGCCAGAAGACUUGUGCCAGCUGUGGAGUACAGUCCACCAGGGUGGAGGACUUCAAUCAUCUGUCCUUGGAUGUCAUCCCACACGUCUCUGUGCAAGACCUCUUGGGGAACUAUUUCAAGGACGCAGAGGUGGAGCUGACUUGUGCCACCUGCGGUGGGAGCCAGGCUGUGCUGUCAUGGUCAUUCCUCACGCUGCCUAGUG